AGUCAAGAAAGAAAGGGCACAAGGUGGAUGCCUUGGCACAUGAAGGCGAUAAAGGACGUAAGUGAACGAAAACUAGGGUGAGCUCACAAAAAGCACUGACCCCUAGGUCUCCGAAUGGGGCAACCCGGUUGUGGAAGACACAAUCAUUACUAAGUGAAUACAUAGCUUAGUAAGGCGAUACCCUGCGAACUGAAACAUCUAAGUAGCAGGAGGAAGAGAAAGAAACAUCGAUUUUCUAAGUAGCGGCGAGCGAAAGGAAAAGAGCCUAACUCAUUAGCGAUAUCUUAAAGUUAGUCGAAUUAUUUGAAAAGAUAAACCAAAGAAAGUGACAGUCUUGUAGACGAAAGCUUUAAGAUACGAGAGGGAAAGUAUCACCGGGCACGAGUAACCCGGUGUGAAGAUAGGGGGCCCAUCCCCUAAGGCUAAAUACUAACAUGUGACCGAUA
rnacentral:rRNA from 1 species